GACGAACGCUGGCGGCGUGCCUAAUACAUGCCAGUCGAACGCUUCUUUCCUCCCGAGUGCUUGCACUCCAUUGGAAAGAGGAGUGGCGGACGGGUGAGUAACACGUGGGUAAUCUACCCAUCAGAGGGGGAUAACACUUGGAAACAGGUGCUAAUACCGCAUAACAGUUUAUGCCGCAUGGCAUAAGAGUGAAAGGCGCUUUCGGGUGUCGUUGAUGGAUGGACCCGCGGUGCAUUAGCUAGUUGGUGAGGUAACGGCUCACCAAGGCCACGAUGCAUAGCCGACCUGAGAGGGUGAUCGGCCACACUGGGACUGAGACACGGCCCAGACUCCUACGGGAGGCAGCAGUAGGGAAUCUUCGGCAAUGGACGAAAGUCUGACCGAGCAACGCCGCGUGAGUGAAGAAGGUUUUCGGAUCGUAAAACUCUGUUGUUAGAGAAGAACAAGGACGUUAGUAACUGAACGUCCCCUGACGGUAUCUAACCAGAAAGCCACGGCUAACUACGUG
rnacentral:rRNA from 1 species